UAGGGAAUCUUCGGCAAUGGACGAAAGUCUGACCGAGCAACGCCGCGUGAGUGAAGAAGGUUUUCGGAUCGUAAAACUCUGUUGUUAGAGAAGAACAAGGACGUUAGUAACUGAACGUCCCCUGACGGUAUCUAACCAGAAAGCCACGGCUAACUACGUGCCAGCAGCCGCGGUAAUACGUAGGUGGCAAGCGUUGUCCGGAUUUAUUGGGGGUAAAGCGAGCGCAGGCGGUUUCUUAAGUCUGAUGUGAAAGCCCCCGGCUCAACCGGGGAGGGUCAUUGGAAACUGGGAGACUUGAGUGCAGAAGAGGAGAGUGGAAUUCCAUGUGUAGCGGUGAAAUGCGUAGAUAUAUGGAGGAACACCAGUGGCGAAGGCGGCUCUCUGGUCUGUAACUGACGCUGAGGCUCGAAAGCGUGGGGAGCAAACAGG
rnacentral:rRNA from 1 species